UAAAUAACACGCUUGGAGGUCACGCGUAUUCUUGGGGAAUUAACACAUAUGUGAGAUGUUAUUGCUUGAGAAUACACGUAGCUGACAAGGAGUAAUGC
rnacentral:pre_miRNA from 9 species